rnacentral:rRNA from 1 species
CCCUUAGAGUUUGAUCCUGGCUCAGGAUGAACGCUAGCUACAGGCUUAACACAUGCAAGUCGAGGGGCAUCAGUUUGGUUUGCUUGCAAACCAAAGCUGGCGACCGGCGCACGGGUGAGUAACACGUAUCCAACCUGCCUCAUACUCGGGGAUAGCCUUUCGAAAGAAAGAUUAAUAUCCGAUAGCAUAUAUUUCCCGCAUGGGUUUUAUAUUAAAGAAAUUCGGUAUGAGAUGGGGAUGCGUUCCAUUAGUUUGUUGGCGGGGUAACGGCCCACCAAGACUACGAUGGAUAGGGGUUCUGAGAGGAAGGUCCCCCACAUUGGAACUGAGACACGGUCCAAACUCCUACGGGAGGCAGCAGUGAGGAAUAUUGGUCAAUGGACGCGAGUCUGAACCAGCCAAGUAGCGUGAAGGAUGACUGCCCUAUGGGUUGUAAACUUCUUUUAUAUGGGAAUAAAGUGGUCCACGUGUGGAUUUUUGUAUGUACCAUAUGAAUAAGGAUCGGCUAACUCCGUGCCAGCAGCCGCGGUAAUACGGAGGAUCCGAGCGUUAUCCGGAUUUAUUGGGUUUAAAGGGAGCGUAGGCGGAUUGUUAAGUCAGUUGUGAAAGUUUGCGGCUCAACCGUAAAAUUGCAGUUGAUACUGGCAGUCUUGAGUGCAGUAGAGGUGGGCGGAAUUCGUGGUGUAGCGGUGAAAUGCUUAGAUAUCACGAAGAACUCCGAUUGCGAAGGCAGCACACUAAUCCGUAACUGACGUUCAUGCUCGAAAGUGUGGGUAUCAAACAGGAUUAGAUACCCUGGUAGUCCACACGGUAAACGAUGGAUACUCGCUGUUGGCGAUAUACUGUCAGCGGCUUAGCGAAAGCGUUAAGUAUCCCACCUGGGGAGUACGCCGGC